rnacentral:sRNA from 1 species
GCUGGGUGCAGUGGCACAUGCCUGUAAUCCCAGCAGCUUAGGAGGCUGAGGCAGGAGGAUCCCAAGUUCAAAGCCAGCCUUAGCAAAAGCGAGGUGGUAAGCAAGUGAGUGAGACCCUGUCUCUA